AUGGGGCGCUCGAAGGCAGUCGAUGAAGCCGAGUGGCAGGAAGUCCUCUCGAUCCGCGACGAGUUUGGUGCAGUUCAACAGGAAAAUGCAGCCAUGCGAACAGAUGUGUCCAAAUUACAAGAAGAUGUUCAGUCGAUCAGUUCCAAACAAGGUGAAAUAGCUCUGCAAGUUGGAGGAAUUGAAAGAGCUGUGUUAGAUCUGGGCAAACAACUAUCCACAAUGAGUUCAGUCUUGCAGAAAUUGGUGGCUCCAUCGGGGUCGGGCACUAGAACUGAGCAACAAACUGGAGAUGACACUGUUGUUAGAUCCCCAACGCUGCAACAGCAACAGCAGGACAGACCACCUAGCAGAACUGCACAGCUGAGACAACAAUUAGAAGUAGAAAAGGAAAAGACCAGACAAAUGGAAGAACUACAUAUGCAACAACUACCUCAGAUCAGAACUGCCAUAACUGCACCACCACCUGGGUUUGGAGCUCAAGCUAACUUGGAGACAACAAGUGCUAUUGGAACACUGGUAACACAGAGAAGGGGGGGUCACACUCCUGCUUUCCAACAGUAUCAGCAACCAGCUCGGGACAGACAGUUAUGGCAGGGUUACUUCAGAACUUAUGAGCAGGAUAUGCAGGCUCAAUUCAUGAAAGCAAUGACAAAAGGUCCAAGGAUGGAUUUUCCUAGAUUCUCUGGUGAAGAUCCUGUGGGUUGGAUUAGACAGUGUAACAAGUAUUUCCAAAUGGCAGCAGCACCUGAAGAGUACAAGGUCUCACUUUCCCAGAUGUACAUAACUGGAGAGGCUGAUGUAUGGUUGAGAAGAUCUGGUUUACUCAAGAAACAAUUGUCAUGGCAAGAAUUUGGAAAAGAAAUCAUCAAGAGAUUUUCUGCACAAGGCUCUUAUGAUCUCACUGAAAAAUCCACUUCUCUUAAACAAGGCAGCACUUCAAUAUCUGAGUACACCAAGUUAUUUGAGGACUUAAUGGCUGAACUGCAGGAGGAAAAUCCUACACUGUCUGAACCCUGGUUUAUUAAGUGCUAUGUGAAUGGGAGGAGAGAUGGAAUUAAAUACCAACUGAGACUUCUUCGACCCACUUCUCUGACUGAUGCGUACUGUUUGGCAAAGGAGAUUGAACCUUGUCACCCUCCUCCUGUGACACAGGUCAAGAAGUCCACAGUACCUUACAAUAACUACUGGCAGAAAACUGUAACACCUGCAGCUGGCAAACAAGUAAUCAACACUGUAGCAGUUCCAACAACUACUGCCACAAAGAACACUGAACAUAUUAAUAGCCAAAAUCAGAAAAGCAGAAAAGCUGGGGAAUGUUGGAGAUGUGGUGAUAAAUGGUUCCAUGCCCAUAAAUGCACUCUAGUUCCUAAUGUGCACAUGUUACAACAAGAAAUGGAAGAAUCUGGUCCAGAAGAAACAGACCCUGAUCAACAAGAAGUAGUGGAAGAAGGGACAGAACAACAGGAGCAAGCAAUGUUUGUCUCUGCCCAUGCUAUGGGCCAGCAACUUGCUGUGCAUUCUCCUACUGUAAUUGUGCAUGUAAAUGGAAAAAGGGCAGUAGCACUGCUGGAUACAGGAAGUUCAAUCUCUUUCAUCAGUGAACAGUUUGCUAUUAAAUCCAACUGUCAAUUCCUCCCUGUUAGACCCAGAAAGGUUUCUGUAGCUGGAGGGGGUUUACUGCUUUCUGCUGCUGUAGUUCCAAAUUGUGUUUUUCAACUAGCCAAACUGAAGUUGGAACACUCUUUCAGAAUUCUCAACCUCCCUAGUCAUGAUAUGAUUCUAGGGUAUGAUUGGUUUUCAUUGGUCAGUCCUGUGGCUUUUGAUGUGCCACACAAUCAGUUCAGCUUCACUAUCCAAGGCAAAACAACAGUCACAACUGCAGUUUACAACCCCAGUGAGGAAAUCUUGGAAAUACCAGCAGAACAAGUCACUAAGCUGUUGGACAAGGGUGUGGAAACUUUUCUUCUUCAAAUUCACAACAUAGUGGCUCAAACUCCUGAAAGGCACUGUAUUCCAGCUGCAAUAAACAACUUGUUACAGGAAUACAAGGAUGUUUUUGCAGAACCAACAACAUUACCUCCCAAGAGAGAAUUGGAUCAUAAAAUCCCCUUGAUGCCAGGAGUUGAUCCACCUCAUGUAAGGCCUUAUAGAGUUCCUCAUCACCAAAAGGAAGAAAUGGAGAAGCAGAUCAAACACCUACUGGAUAAUAAGCUCAUAAGAAAUAGUCAGAGUCCAUAUGCAGCUCUUGUUCUUCUAGUUAAAAAGAAAGACAGUACUAUGAGGCUCUGUACUGAUUUUAGAAGGCUGAACACUGUAACAGUGAAGGACAAAUUCCCUAUACCAGUAAUUGAGGACCUACUGGAUGAGUUGCAUGGAGCAAAGAUUUUUUCAAAAAUUGACUUAAGGUCAGGAUAUCAGCAGAUAAGAAUGGACCCUGCAGACAUUCAUAAAACUGCAUUCAGAACUUUUUUGGGGCACUAUGAAUAUUUGGUGAUGCCCUUUGGAUUAUCUAAUGCACCAGCAACAUUCCAAGCUCUCAUGAACCUCUUGUUUGCUAAGUACAACAGGAAGUUUGUACUGGUAUUCUUUGAUGAUAUCCUAGUGUUCAGCAAUACAAGUGAAGAGCAUGUGGAACAUUUAAAACAAGUACUGCAAAUCUUGAGAGAAAACCAGCUGUUUGCAAAAAUGUCCAAGUGUGCUUUUGCAGUUUCUCCGGUGGAAUAUUUGGGACAUGUAGUUUCUGGUGAAGGAUUAGCUACUGAACCCAGCAAGAUUAAAGCAAUUGUGGACUGGCCUACACCCACUGAUAUCACUAAGUUAAGAAGUUUCUUGGGCCUAGCUGGUUACUACAGAAGGUUCAUCAAAGAUUAUGGAACAAUUUGCAGGCCAUUACAUGAUGCUCUUAAGAAAGGAAAAUUUCUGUGGACAGCAGAGCAAGAUAAGGCUUUCAGAAAAUUACAACAAGCUUUGGUAACAGCUCCAGUACUGGCCCUGCCCAAUUUCAAUGUCCCUUUUACAUUAGAAACUGAUGCUUCAGGCUAUGGCAUUGGUGUUGUGCUUAUGCAAGAGGGCAGACCAUUGGCAUACUACAGUUCUUCACUCUGUCUAAGAAAUGCUGCCCUAUCUACUUAUGAGAAAGAAGCACUAGCAAUCUUAGGCUGUGUUUGGUUGGACAGAUUGUCCCAACUUCUGCUUUUUAGAAGCUAA
rnacentral:rRNA from 1 species